CUCUAUCACCAGUCAUCAGGUCUCCUCUAUCACCAGUCAUCAGGUCUCCUCAUCAGGUCUCCCCUAAAACCAGUCAUCAGGUCUCCUCAUCAGGUCUCCUCAUCAGGUCUCCCCUAACACCAGUCAUCAGGUCUCCUCAUCAGGUCUCCUCAUCAGGUCUCCCCUAACACCAGUCAUCAGGUCUCCUCAUCAGGUCUCCUCAUCAGGUCUCCCCUAACACCAGUCAUCAGGUCUCCCCUAACACCAGUC